rnacentral:rRNA from 1 species
AGAGUUUGAUCCUGGCUCAGGAUAAACGCUGGCGGCGUGCUUAACACAUGCAAGUCGAACGAAGUUUUUCUUUCGGGAGAAACUUAGUGGCGGACGGGUGAGUAACGCGUGGGUAACCUGCCCUGUACAGGGGGACAACAGCUGGAAACGGCUGCUAAUACCGCAUAAGCCCUUAGCACUGCAUGGUGCAUAGGGAAAAGGAGUAAUCCGGUACAGGAUGGACCCGCGUCUGAUUAGCCAGUUGGCAGGGUAACGGCCUACCAAAGCGACGAUCAGUAGCCGAUCUGAGAGGAUGUACGGCCACAUUGGGACUGAGACACGGCCCAGACUCCUACGGGAGGCAGCAGUGGGGAAUAUUGCACAAUGGAGGAAACUCUGAUGCAGCGACGCCGCGUGAAGGAUGAAGUAUUUCGGUAUGUAAACUUCUAUCAGCAGGGAAGAAAAUGACGGUACCUGACUAAGAAGCCCCGGCUAACUACGUGCCAGCAGCCGCGGUAAUACGUAGGGGGCAAGCGUUAUCCGGAUUUACUGGGUGUAAAGGGAGCGUAGACGGCACGGCAAGCCAGAUGUGAAAGCCCGGGGCUCAACCCCGGGACUGCAUUUGGAACUGCUGAGCUAGAGUGUCGGAGAGGUAAGUGGAAUUCCCAGUGUAGCGGUGAAAUGCGUAGAGAUUGGGAGGAACACCAGUGGCGAAGGCGACUUACUGGGCCGUAACUGACGCUGAGGCGCGAAAGCGUGGGGAGCGAACAGGAUUAGAUACCCUGGUAGUCCACGCCGUAAACG